AGAUGGCGCCGACAUCCAGCCUUGUCUGGAUAUAAACGACUUACUGCGCAUGUGCAGGCUUGUCCCCUUGCUAGGGCUCCCUCUAGUGGUGAACAGCGGUACUGCACAUGUGCGGUUUAUGCACCAGGUGUUAGUUGACCGUUAAUAUGCUAAUGAGGUGAUUCAUUCUCGGCCAAUCCCUGGAGGACAAGUAGUGGGGUGAUCCAAGCCCCACCAAUCCCUGAGAGAUAAUUAGCAUACUGUUGUCUAUAUAAGCCGAGCGAUUUUGCUGCUCGGAGUCCCUGUUCAAGAGAGCUGUAACACUAAGAGAGCUGUAACACUAAGAAGAGCUGUAACACAGUAAAGGCUUGCUCGCAGAAGAAUCCUGUUGCCACGCGUCGUUCUUGCUGGCGGGACAUUGGGCGCGCGACACCUCCGAACCUCUGGUGGACCCCAGACCCUGGUCGAAUGCCCUGCGGGACGGGGCAAGCAAUGACCUCAUGCAGACCUGGAAGACGGUAUGUUUUACAUGUAGAUUCAACAACUGCUUCUGCCAGUGGUGGGCAUACACGCCACAACAGAGUUCGAAAUGACAGCCAGAGGACUCCCAGGAACCCAAGCCACAGAGAAAAAGCUAAGAGAAUACCACGCAUGCCACCAGCCCUGCGGUCUCAGGAUAAGCCUGCCACACAUCAGCCUGUGAAGCCAUCUGGCAAGAGGAGCCUGAGACAGGCAGAGGGUUAGGGAAGAGGCAGACGUUGUAGGCGCUCCAGGGAUGGAGGAGAAGGGUGUCGCUCAGAGUGGGGAACUCCCAGGAAAUGGAGGUCAUCUGAUGUCCAGGCAAGUCUAAGGGCUGUGAAAAUAAGUCCAGAAAUGUCCUGGUCAUCUCCAGCCCUUUAAGAUGGUCUGAAAGGUGAAAGCCACACCCAAAAAUCCACGGAGGUUCAGAAGGCAAGACUGCCACCUAACUACUAUAGGGGCCUUGGUGAGUAGAGAGGACCCUGGCCAUCGACAUCCCAAAGACUCGUGUCCUUGCUGAUUGGAGGGCACCAGAGUUUAGAAGGCAAGGGAACACAAAGUAAGGAAAGACCAUGACUGUGGAGGAGCUAACCUGACGGAAGCUCUGUGUGAGAAGUCGAUAUGGAGGAAAGAGAGUUAAAGCAACACAGCCUCUGACUGACUUCACUCUACUCCACUCGUCUGCUUCCCUGCUAACCCUGACCUCACAUCGUCCGUGUGGAGGCCACAUCCCUCAGUUGCAUGGCUGUACACCUGUGCCCCGAAGGACAGCGCUUUGGAUUCCUGGCAGAACAGAUGGACUCCUUGGCUGAAUUGUGCCUGGGAUUGAGGUAAUGACCGGUUGUUCUCCCCUGGGCUGUCCUCCCUGUCCCACUUCACCUACCUUCCCAUGGUUGCUUCCUGAGCCUCAUUCCAAUGUAUUGCCUUACCUGCCCCUGCCCCAUGGGUCUCAGGCCCACGUGGGUCUGCAGGAUCUCAUAAGUUCCAGGAUCGAUAAUCGUUCUCCCAGCUACCUCAGGGGAAAAACACCUUCAGAGGGCACGGCCUGGUGACCUGCUCCCUCCCUGCUCAGGGGAGCUGGAGUCUCCACGGGUAGGCAGAGGAACAAAAGAGACCGCAGACACACUCAUGGAAUCCCACCAAUGCACAGAGCCGGGGGCAGAAGGCCCACUCCCCUCUCCUAUGCUCUCAACUCUGCCAUUUAUUUCACAGCAGAGGGGCUGUGGGGACAUUAGCAUUCAUGUGUGCAGCAGCAAGCCGGCAGACGCUUCGGAGAGAAUUCCUCGGUAAUGAGAAGGCAAUACCCUACCAGCUUUCAAUGCUCUGACUGGCUGUUUCAUGGAACCCAAGGUGGAGAAAACAGCUCCAUCAAUUUGUUUUGGUUUACUGAUUGCCCUGUUGUCUCUGCCUGCGUGGUGUCAGAUUGGUGCCGUGACCCCCGAGAGCCUCUGCUGGCUCCAAUAUUUUCCAGCUCACAGCUAACCUCACUAUGUCCUUCCUACUUACAGUACUGAUAUUCUCUGACAAAAUGGAGAAUCUCUCCUCGGUGCAUAGGCAGUUUCAGAAUGGACUUCAGUGACCAGGGGUGUCCCUCAGCAUUGUUGAAGGAGAACUGGCAGCAGGUGACUUCUGAGUCACCAGUCACACUUAGUAAAGCCCCAGAAGAGUCAAGCAUUGUAUAUCCCAGACUGGAAUCUCUUGUAUGACUUUUUCUGAGGAGACACAAACAAACAUCUUCCCACCCCAGACAAGUACUGGCAACACACCAAAGAAAUAGUUCCACUCAAGACCAGCUUAGCAAACCAAAGAACUUUUCAGGGUUUCUUCCUUCCUUUCUUCCUUCCUUCCUUCCUUCCUUCCUUUCUUUCUUUCUUUCUUUCUUUCUUUCUUUCUUUCUUUCUCUCUUUCUUUCUUUUUAAAGAUAGAUAGAUAGAUAGAUAGAUAGAUAGAUAGAUAGAUAGAUAGAUAGAUAGAUUUCAUGCAUAUGAGUACCCUAUAGCUGUCUUCAGACACACUAGAAGAUGGCAUCAAAUCUCAUUACAGAUGGUUGGGAGCCACCAUGUGGUUGCUGGGAAUUGAACUCAGGACCUCUGGAAGAGCAGUCAGUGCUCUUAACCCCUGAGCGAUCUCUCCAGCCCUUUUGGGGAUUUCUGACAAGAGCGUGCAUGACUGAGGUAACCACUCUUGAGAAGCCCACAGAGAGAUGAUUCCCAGGGCCUUAUUCCACAAUCUGUGGGUGGUUCCAUCCUUUUAAAGGAUCUUCUCUCCUUAGUCACUGUUACUGCUUGUAUAACCCUGGGCCUUGGGGAUCUUGUAAAUUUCAGGAGCUUUCUGUAUCUUGUAUGUUUUGUUUACUUCCUGAAUAUUACAGGCCUCCUUCCUCUUUCCAGGGCUUUCAAUUUGGAGAAAAUCACUAGAUAACAAAUAUGCUUACGCCCACAGUCCUGUUCAGCAAGAUCUUGUGCACAGGUCUAGAAAACCAAAAGCUGGGAGACUGUAGUACUAGACUGUGUGUCUAUGAGAUGUUCUUCACAGGCUUACAUGUCUGAACACUGUCUCUAAGCUGAAAGUACUGUUCAGAGAGACUGUGGAAUCUUUGGGCAGUAGGGCCUAGCUGGCAGUCAUAAGCUACUAGGAGCAGGCAGACCUUGAGGGUGCCAACCCUAUCCUGCGUCUGGUCUCGACUCUGUUUUCUGGUUGUUUUGCAGGUGAGAGGCUGCCACUGCCUUGGGCAGAUCUUGUCCUGCUACUAUGGUGGACUAUAUCUAUGAACCGUGAGCCCAAAUAAAUCUUCUUCCCUUAAUUUGUGUCUGUCAGAUGUUUGAUCACAAUGA